CGAACGCUUGCGGCGUGCUUAACACAUGCAAGUCGAACGAGAAAGCCCCUUCGGGGGUGAGUAAAGUGGCGCACGGGUGAGUAACGCGUAGGUAAUCUACCCAGGUAUUUGGGACAACAUCGGGAAACUGAUGCUAAUACCGAAUACGUUUUCCAUGUAGCGAUACAAGGAAAAGAAAGGUGGCCUCUCUAUAGAAGCUACCGUACUUGGAUGAGCCUGCGUACCAUUAGCUAGUUGGUAGGGUAAUGGCCUACCAAGGCUACGAUGGUUAGCGGGUCUGAGAGGAUGAUCCGCCACACUGGCACUGGAACACGGGCCAGACUCCUACGGGAGGCAGCAGUGAGGAAUUUUGCACAAUGGGGGAAACCCUGAUGCAGCGACGCCGCGUGAGUGAUGAAGGCUUUCGAGUCGUAAAGCUCUGUCAAUAGGGAAGAAAUGCUAUGAGGUUAAUAUCUUCAUAGUUUGACGGUACCUAUAAAGGAAGCACCGGCUAACUCC
rnacentral:rRNA from 1 species